rnacentral:rRNA from 1 species
UNCGNNCGNNGNNUAAAGNNAGCUUGCUAUUUUUAUGAAGAGCGGCGAACGGGUGAGUAACGCGUGGGAAAUCUGCCGAGUAGCGGGGGACAACGUUUGGAAACGAACGCUAAUACCGCAUAACAAUGAGAAUCGCAUGAUUCUUAUUUAAAAGAAGCAAUUGCUUCACUACUUGAUGAUCCCGCGUUGUAUUAGCUAGUUGGUAGUGUAAAGGACUACCAAGGCGAUGAUACAUAGCCGACCUGAGAGGGUGAUCGGCCACACUGGGACUGAGACACGGCCCAGACUCCUACGGGAGGCAGCAGUAGGGAAUCUUCGGCAAUGGGGGCAACCCUGACCGAGCAACGCCGCGUGAGUGAAGAAGGUUUUCGGAUCGUAAAACUCUGUUGUUAGAGAAGAACGUUAAGUAGAGUGGAAAAUUACUUAAGUGACGGUAUCUAACCAGAAAGGGACGGCUAACUACGUGCCAGCAGCCGCGGUAAUACGUAGGUCCCAAGCGUUGUCCGGAUUUAUUGGGCGUAAAGCGAGCCCAGGUGGUUUUUNAAGUCUGAUGUAAAAGGCAGUGGCUCAACCAUUGGGUGCAUUGNAACUGGNAAACUUGAUUGCAGGAAAAGAAAGUGNANUNCAUGUGUANCGGUGAAUGNCNUAAANA